rnacentral:tRNA from 1 species
GAGGCCGUGCCCCUGGCACCCCGAGGACUCAUAAUCCGUCGGCCGUGGGUUCGAGUCCCACCCGCCUCA